rnacentral:rRNA from 1 species
AGAGUUUGAUCCUGGCUCAGAUUGAACGCUGGCGGCAGGCCUAACACAUGCAAGUCGAGCGUGAAAGUCCUUCGGGAUGAGUAAAGCGGCGGACGGGUGAGUAACGCGUAGGAAUCUACCUAAUAGUGGGGGACAACGUUUCGAAAGGAACGCUAAUACCGCAUACGUUCUGAGGAAGAAAGCAGGGGAUCGCAAGACCUUGCGCUAUUAGAUGAGCCUGCGUCCGAUUAGCUAGUUGGUGGGGUAAAGGCCUACCAAGGCGACGAUCGGUAACUGGUCUGAGAGGAUGAUCAGUCACACUGGAACUGAGACACGGUCCAGACUCCUACGGGAGGCAGCAGUGGGGAAUAUUGGACAAUGGGGGCAACCCUGAUCCAGCCAUGCCGCGUGUGUGAAGAAGGCCUUCGGGUUGUAAAGCACUUUAAGCGGGGAGGAAGGCUCUAUGGCUAAUAUCCAUGGGGAUUGACGUUACCCGCAGAAUAAGCACCGGCAAACUUCGUG